GCUUUUCCUAUGGAUUGUUGCUAUCGUGGUGUUUAUCAAUGAUCCAAGUUCUCAAGGUAUCCUCUUGGUGAAAGAAGUUUUGCAUAUCUUGUUGCUCCCAAUCAACUAAUUGUUUCUGUUAGUGGUAGGUUGUCACCUCAUAAUUUUCAGAUGUUUUCCAUAAGCCAACAACAAGCUUACUCUUUUCAUUGUUGAUUUUCGAACAACUGUGUCGAAUAUUUUUUUUUCUAAGGUUGCUUUUCAAAUUCAAUGGUGGUAGAAGUUGUCAUUUUAUUUUUCGUUCUUUUCUCUCCAAAGAUCUAGCUUCUAUUGUUUUGUUCCGAAGGCGUUGUGAUGUUGCUCUCUUCAAAUCGUCAUCUCUGUUAUCAAGAUCAUGUUCUUUCCUUGCUUAUCAAUUUAACCGGAGAGUUGUGCCAUCUUUACAACUUCUUUCCAUCUCAUCAAGUUUUGCAACUAUUUUCUACUAAGGUGCUGCCUAAAUUUCUUUAAAAUUAUUUCUGGUUCCUCAUAUCAUUCUUCAUAUCUUUGUAACCUACAAAGUUCAUUUGUUUCACUCAUUUGUCAAACAAGCAACACAGUUUUACCCAUUCCUUUCCUCUUCCUCUUCCUUUUAUCAUUCUAAGAUCUCGGGUCGAGAUCUCUUGUUAGCGAAGGAGAGUUGUAACAGCCCAAGACCGACGCUCUAGAUUCCUUCUAUGUAUUUCAUCAUAAUCGUGUGUUUAUUUGUUUGUAGCAAUCAUCAUUGCAUCAUUUGCAUUGCAUCGACACUUUGUCGCCAUUGUUU
rnacentral:lncRNA from 1 species